UCUUACAGAUGAGUAAAGAAAGCAUUUUCUUGAGAUGGAAUCUAUUCCUGUUGAAGAUGUUGUGAA
rnacentral:pre_miRNA from 1 species